rnacentral:rRNA from 1 species
GCGAAAACUUUACAAUGCUGGCAACAGCGAUAAGGGAACCUCGAGUGCCAGGUUACAAAUCUGGCUGUCGAGAUGCCUAAAAAGCAUUUCAUAGCAAGGGCCGGGCAAGACCGGUGCCAGCCGCCGCGGUAACACCGGCGGCUCGAGUGGUAACCGUUAUUAUUGGGUCUAAAGGGUCUGUAGCCGGCCGGAUAAGUCUCUUGAGAAAUCUGGCAGCUUAACUGUCAGGCUUUCAGGAGAUACUGUCUGGCUCGAGGCCGGGAGAGGUGAGAGGUACUUCAUGGGUAGGGGUUAAAUCUUGGAAUCCUUGAAGGACCGCCGGUGGCGCAGGCGUCUCACCAGAACGGACCUGACGGCAAGGGACGAAAGCUAGGUGCACGAACC